rnacentral:lncRNA from 10 species
CCCACAGUGCUGGGAUGACAGGUGUGAGCCACCGCGCCCGGCCUCUCCGUCUGCGUCGGCCUCCCACAGUGCUGGGGUGACAGGUGUGAGCCGCUGCGCCGGCCGCAUGUGUGCUCUUGAGAGCACUUCUCUGGGGAGCAUCCCGGAUCUGAACUGCUGGUUGUCAGAGAUGGGGUCUCUCACUGCGUUGCCCAGGCUGCUCUGGAACUCCUGGCCUCAAGUGCUGGGAUUCCAGGCGUGAACCACCACGCCCGGCUGAGAUGUUCCUUUUCCUUGGAACUUGAUCAACACAAAAUCCUGA